AGUGAACGUUGGCGGCGUGGAUUAGGCAUGCAAGUCGUGCGGAAAGGCCCCGCAAGGGGUACUCGAGCGGCGAAAGGGAUAGUAACACGUAGGUACCUGCCUCCGGGACGGGGAUAGCCGCGGGAAACUGCGAUUAAUACCCGAUAACGUCGAGAGACCAAAGGUGUGAUUCCACCUGGAGAUGGGCCUGCGUCCUAUUAGCUAGUUGGUGAGGUAACGGCCCACCAAGGCAAAGAUGGGUAGCGGGUGUGAGAGCACGACCCGCAUCACUGGGACUGAGACACUGCCCAGACACCUACGGGUGGCUGCAGUCGAGAAUCUUCGGCAAUGGGCGCAAGCCUGACCGAGCGACGCCGCGUGCGGGAUGAAGGCCCUCGGGUUGUAAACCGCUGUCGUAGGGGAGGAAGGCUCCGUGAAGAGCGGGGUUUGACCUAUCCUAGGAGGAAGGACGGGCUAAAUUCGUGCCAGCAGCCGCAGUAAUAC
rnacentral:rRNA from 1 species